AUACGGAGGAUCCGAGCGUUAUCCGGAUCUAUUGGGUUUAAAGGGUGCGCAGGCGGCCAUUUAAGUCAGCGGUUAAAUCGUGGGGCUCAACCCCAUUCUGCCGUUGAUACUGGGUGGCUUGAUUGCGGUCGAAGUUGGCGGAAUUCGUUGUGUAGCGGUGAAAUGCAUAGAUAUGACGAAGAACACCGAUUGCGUAGGCAGCUGACCAGACCGCAAAUGACGCUCAUGCACGAAAGUGCGGGGAUCGAACAGGAUUAGAUACCCUGGUAGUCCGCACAGUAAACGAUGAAUACUUGUUUUCGGCGAUAUAAUGUCGGAGGCAAAGCGAAAGCGAUAAGUAUUCCACCUGGGGAGUACGCCGGCAACGGUGAAACUCAAAUGAAUUGACGGGG
rnacentral:rRNA from 1 species